rnacentral:RNase_P_RNA from 1 species
AUACUCAUGUAAUCGCUGCUUGUUUUAAUGCGAGCAGAGGAAAGUCCAUGCUCACACAAACUGAGAUGUUUGUAGUGUUCGUGCUUGACGAAAUCAUAAGUCAAGGUAACCUUUAUGGUUAACGGCAGGGGAAGUUCCUAAGUCCUUCUGGAUAUGGAAUAAGAUCCUUGAAAGUGCCACAGUGACGUAGCCGAAGUGGAAACACUUUGGGUGGAACGAGGUAAACCCCACGAGUGAGCAACCCAAAUAAUGGUAGGGGCAUCUUUUAGUAGGGAAUUCAACCGAACAAAGGACAAGUAUAACUUGUAGAUAGAUGAUUACAACCAAUGGUACAAGGUUGACCACCGUUUGUAGUACUAAGGUACAGAACAUGGCUUAUCGAG